rnacentral:rRNA from 1 species
UACGGAGGGUGCAAGCGUUAAUCGGAAUUACUGGGCGUAAAGCGCACGCAGGUGGCUGAGUCAGUCGAUUGUGAAAGCCCUGGGCUUAACCUGGGAAUUGCAGUCGAUACUACUCAGCUAGAGUAUGGGAGAGGGUAGUGGAAUUCCCGGUGUAGCGGUGAAAUGCGUAGAUAUUGGGAGGAACACCAGUGGCGAAGGCGGCUCACUGGACUGGUACUGACGCUGGUGCGCGAAAGCGUGGGGAGCAAACAGG